rnacentral:rRNA from 1 species
UACGAAGGGGGCUAGCGUUGCUCGGAAUCACUGGGCCUAAAGCAUCCGUAGCCGGUUCUACAAGUCUUCCGUUAAAUCCACCUGCUUAACAGAUGGGCUGCGGAAGAUACUAUAGAGCUAGGAGGCGGGAGAGGCAAGCGGUACUCGAUGGGUAGGGGUAAAAUCCGUUGAUCCAUUGAAGACCACCAGUGGCGAAGGCGGCUUGCCAGAACGCGCUCGACGGUGAGGGAUGAAAGCUGGGGGAGCAAACCGG